rnacentral:rRNA from 1 species
GAUAGAACGCGUAGGCGGGAGGCCUAACACAUGCAAGUCGAGCGGGUAUUAGUUCUUUCGGGGAUAAGAGAGCGGCGAACGGGUGCGUAACACGUGUGCAACCUGCCCUUAUCAGGGGGAUAGCCCGGAGAAAUUCGGAUUAAUACCCUAUAAUAUAUUAGAUAGCAUCAUUUAAUAUUGAAAGCCACGGUGGAUAAGGAUGGGCACGCGCAAGAUUAGCUAGUUGGUGAGGUAGCGGCUCACCAAGGCGACGAUCUUUAGGGGGCCUGAGAGGGUGAUCCUCCACACUGGGACUGAGAUACGGCCCAG